rnacentral:rRNA from 1 species
GACGAACGCUGGCGGCGUGCCUAAUACAUGCAAGUCGAACGCAGUGGGGACGGGUGAGUGACACGUGGGUAACCUCCCAUCAGAGGGGAUAACACUUGGAAACAGGUGCUAAACCGAAAUUGAUGGAGGGACCAGCGGUGCAUUAGCCAGUUGGUGAGGUAACGGAUCACCAAGGCCACGAUGCAUAGCCGGCCUGAGAGGGUGAUCGGCCACGCUGGGACUGAGACGCGGCCCAGACUCCUACGGGAGGCAGCAGUAGGGAAUAUUCGGCAAUGGACGAAAGUCUGACCGAGCAACGCCGCGUGAGUGAAGAAGGUUUUCGGAUCGUAAAGCUCUGUUGUUAGGGAGGCGGUAUCUAACCAGAAAGCCACGGCUAACGACGUGCCAGCAGCCGCGGUAAUUC